rnacentral:rRNA from 1 species
CAGUAGCCGCGGGAAAACGGAGGGUGCAAGCGUUAAUCGGAAUUACUGGGCAUAAAGCGCACGCAGGCGGUCUGUCAAGUCAGAUGUGAAAUCCCCGGGCUCAACCUGGGAACUGCAUUUGAAACUGGCAGGCUAGAGUCUUGUAGAGGGGGGUAGAAUUCCAGGUGUAGCGGUGAAAUGCGUAGAGAUCUGGAGGAAUACCGGUGGCGAAGGCGGCCCCCUGGACAAAGACUGACGCUCAGGUGCGAAAGCGUGGGGAGCAAACAGGAUUAGAUACCCGGGUAGUACCUGUCUCUUAUAC